GACGAACGCUGGCGGCGUGCCUAAUACAUGCAAGUCGAACGCAAAGUUUAUACCGUAGCUUGCUACACCAUUGACUGUGAGUUGCGAAUGGGUGAGUAACGCGUAGGUAACCUGCCUGGUAGCGGGGGAUAACUAUUGGAAACGAUAGAUAAUACCGCAUACUAUUGAUUAUUGCAUGAUAAUUGAUUGAAAGAUGCUAUUGCAUCACUACCAGAUGGACCUGCGUUGGAUUAGCUAGUAGGUGAGGUAACGGCGCACCUAGGCGACGAUACAUAGCCGACCGGAGGGGGUGAGCAGCCACACUGGGACGGUGACACGGCACAGACGCCCUCGGGAAGCAGCAGUAGGGAAACUUCGGCAAGGGGCGAAAGACUUACCGAGCAACGCCGCGGGAGGGAAGAAGGUUGUCGGGUCGGAAAGCUCGGUUGUAGGGGAAGAACCGGUGUGAGAGUGGAAAGUUCACAGUGUGACGGUAACUUACCAGAAAGCGACGGCUAACUACGUG
rnacentral:rRNA from 1 species